GUGUUACCAUGAGAAAAUAUCUUGAACUUCUACUCUGUACUUCACCAUACAAGCAUUGAGCCUGGUGUUUUCUUUAAAUUGUUUUAUGAUUACUUAAAGCCAUUCUUUAUAAAUUUUACACCUCUGCUGGUCAGGUGGCCUAACUUUGGAAGACUCAGACUUUCAUCUGUGACAGUUCUAUAGUCACAGUCGCUAUGCCUUCUCAGGUCCUGGCUGCUGUGUUAUUACAUUGAUUCUCAAAGUUGUACAAGGGAAUAUCAAAAGACACCAAAGUGGAUUAGGAUUAGUUACUGUUAAAAAUAUUCCUUCUGCUUUACGUUCU
rnacentral:lncRNA from 1 species